rnacentral:lncRNA from 1 species
GUGGCCUCCACGUCUUCUGCCUCCUUCCACUACAUGGCACUACCUCUCCAGGACUCGGAUUUCUGAGGAAUAAUGAGGCUAAUGGAAUUAGGGAGAAGCCACUUCUCACAAGUGCUGAUGACUGUGUCCCAACAACUACUGGGCCUGGCUUGUAGGGGCAAGAAUUUGAAAAUUCUACCAGACUCCACCUGAACAGCCAAUCCAACUACAUUUAAUUAUUGAGUUG